UACAGAGGUCCCGAGCGUUGUUCGGAUUCAUUGGGCGUAAAGGGUGCGUAGGCGGCGGGGUAAGUCUGAUGUGAAAUCCUGGGGCUCAACCCCAGAACUGCAUUGGAUACUGCCUUGCUAGAGUACUGGAGAGGAAACUGGAAUUUACGGUGUAGCAGUGAAAUGCGUAGAGAUCGUAAGGAAGACCAGUGGCGAAGGCGAGUUUCUGGACAGUAACUGACGCUGAGGCACGAAGGCCAGGGGAGCAAACAGG
rnacentral:rRNA from 1 species